rnacentral:rRNA from 1 species
CCUACGGGAGGCAGCAGUUGGGAAUCUUGCACAAUGGGGGAAACCCUGAUGCAGCGACGCCGCGUGGAGGAAGAAGGGUCUAGGCUCGUAAACUCCUUUUUCAGGGAAAGACUUAGUACGGUACCCUGAGAAUACGCUCCGGCUAACUACGUGCCAGCAGCCGCGGUAAGACGCAUGGAGCGCGCGUUGUCCGGAUUUACUGGGCGUAAAGAGCACGUAGGCGGUCUGUUAAGUGAGAAGUGAAAUCUCCAGCGCUCAACGCGGAAACGGCUUUUCAGACUGGCAGACUUGAGGGAUGCAGAGGCAAGUAGAAUUCCUGGUGGACCGGUGACAUGGGUUGAUAUCAGGAGGAAUACCAAUGGCGAAGGCAGCUUGCUGGGCAUCAUCUGACGCUGAGGUGCGAAAGCGUGGGUAGCAAACAGGAUUAGAUACCCCUGUAGUC